rnacentral:rRNA from 1 species
AUCAGGUGAGACCACGUCCGACUACUACUUUUCAAACUUAAAGAAAUUGGCGGAGGAAAGAGAACACAGGGCGGCCUGGGGCUUAAUCGGAGGAUCCACCAGCAGACCUUCUUAGUAUAUAAUGUCAUCUGUAUGUCUGUUUAGAAGGAAUAUCUCAGACCAUCCCCCUAAAAUCUCAAUUUUGUUAGUCUACUAGUGAUUCUCAUUGUUUUAAGCUUGGCACCCUUAUGACUAAGUGUGUCUCAUUGGUAGGUUGUUAGAAUCAGCUCAAUUGUACAUCACAACACAGAGCUGACUCUUCCAGCAGCUUCUAUACAAGUCAAAUUCAGGUGAUAUUGGGAGUGUUACUAAGAGACAUCUGGGUCGCUUUUAACAUUUAGUUAGGGUUCAUUUAAAAAUCAGCCAUCAAGAACUUGAAAGUAAACUCCUUGUUUCUGGGUUGAAUUCAUCUCUUUCCUAGUACAAAUCCCGUCCC